AAAAUCCGUCGACUUUAUAAGUAGUGAGGGUUCAAGUCCCUCUAUCCCCA
rnacentral:tRNA from 1 species